GCGACUUGGUGUCCUGCAGAACACUUUCACCUGCAUUAGGGAUCCUGGGGAUCCCUGUUUUGCGACCUGGAAAUCCGAAAAGAAUCAGUGCGUUACCCCGGUUUGUUUGGUUUGGGACGAACUUGUUUAUGCAGAAACCGCAUCGCUCGAGAAGAGCAAGCUCUUCUCGCGGUCUCUGUAGUUC
rnacentral:sRNA from 1 species